ACAAUGGGGGAAACCCUGAUGCAGCGACGCCGCGUGGAGGAAGAAGGUCUUCGGAUUGUAAACUCCUGUUGUUGAGGAAGAUAAUGACGGUACUCAACAAGGAAGUGACGGCUAACUACGUGCCAGCAGCCGCGGUAAAACGUAGGUCACAAGCGUUGUCCGGAAUUACUGGGUGUAAAGGGAGCGCAGGCGGGAAGACAAGUUGGAAGUGAAAUCCAUGGGCUCAACCCAUGAACUGCUUUCAAAACUGUUUUUCUUGAGUAGUGCAGAGGUAGGCGGAAUUCCCGGUGUAGCGGUGGAAUGCGUAGAUAUCGGGAGGAACACCAGUGGCGAAGGCGGCCUACUGGGCACCAACUGACGCUGAGGCUCGAAAGUGUGGGUAGCAAACAGGAUUAGAUACCCUGGUAGUCCACACUGUAAACGAUGAUUACUAGGUGUUGGAGGAUUGACCCCUUCAGUGCCGCAGUUAACACAAUAAGUAAUCCACCUGGGGAGUACGACCGCAAGGUUGAAACUCAAAGGAAUUGACGGGGGCCCGCACAAGCAGUGGAGUAUGUGGUUUAAUUCGACGCAACGCGAAGAACCUUACCAAGUCUUGACAUCCUGCGACGAUGCUGGAAACAGUAUUUUCCUUCGGGAGCAAGGAGACAGGUGGUGCAUGGUUGUCGUCAGCUCGUGUCGUGAGAUGUUGGGUUAAGUCCCGCAACGAGCGCAACCCUUAUGGUCAGUUACUACGCAAGAGGACUCUGGCCAGACUGCCGUUGACAAAACGGAGGAAGGUGGGGAUGACGUCAAAUCAUCAUGCCCUUUAUGACUUGGGCUACACACGUACUACAAUGGCGUUAAACAAAGAGAAGCAAGACCGCGAGGUGGAGCAAAACUCAGAAACAACGUCCCAGUUCGGACUGCAGGCUGCAACUCGCCUGCACGAAGUCGGAAUUGCUAGUAAUCGCAGAUCAGC
rnacentral:rRNA from 1 species